rnacentral:lncRNA from 1 species
CUUCCCUUGGGAGUGGUGGAAAAUUGUCCAGAAGGAGCUCGAAGAGAAGCAAAUCCAGUGGAAAUAGAUUUUCUUUCUCCAGUUUCUCAGCAAAAUUCUUAGCAUUCAUUCUUGGAUGAACCCAAACCACCUUUAUCUCUAAACUUGUUAGUGACUGAAUGGAAUGCGGUGCUUCUGUCGGAACAUCUUUAAGAUAUGUACAGCCCUGGGGUGUCUGAAGUAGAGUCAGCUCUAUUCAAAGGCCAAAAUCUGAGAGGGAAAAUGGAAUAGAUAUCAAAAGGAAGCUCAAAUGAUUUUGCUGAAGUCAAGAUGCUGAAUAAGUGAAGGCAAUAGGAGUCCAAUUGUUUUUGCUUUUUAUCUGUAAACUGGACUGGAUCCUGAAUUCUUCUAGGUCUCCUGAAAUAUCUGGCUAUAAAUCUCCAAACUAGCAUUUUCAAUUUUUUUUCCAUCAUUUUCAUUUGGAAUCUUGAGAGCUGAAACCACCCUUGUUCCUGAAGCCCUGAAAACUGCUUCUGGACAACUUGAUACAAACUUCAGAGAGAUUCAUGUCUGUUGCUGUAAAUGCUUCUCCAUAAAUACCUGGUUACUUGCUUACAAAAUGUAGGCCUAACUUUGGGAAGCCACCUGCACCAUCAUCUUACUAAGAGAUUGGUUCAGUGAGAUAGAACCAUCUACAUUACCAGCAGAAAGAACCUAGAAAAGUCAUCACGCUGUAUCACUCAAGACUCAAGACUGAGGAAUGAAGAAUAAGAAGGAGGAAUUUGUAACUGCGGGCCCCCCAGGACAGUUCAAUUGAUCCCAUCUUUUCAAAAGAGUCAUUAAGAGUGGUUUAUCAAGAACUGAGACCCCCUGGGAAAUCUUUAAUCUUUACAAAGUCAAGUGCUCCAACUUGUGGCAAAAUUGCUGAAAACCUAAAGGUUCCAGAAGCUGUAAAAGUUUACAAAGAACUGCAGAAUUUUACCAAGCUUCUUUUGUGUCCUGAGACCUUGGCUUGAUGAUCAUCAGGUUGGGGGGUUGGUCCCAAAAAUAUGAGUGGACGAAAAUGCAGUUACACCCAAUUUUGUGGUCAGAGAUGGUUGGACAGAAAUGUAGGUUGCACUCCUUUUUGUGACUAAGAGUCACGCUAAACUGCUGUCAUCCUCAGGGAAUUGCACUGGCCAUUGGAAGGGACAUUCCAAUAAGAUAACAUCAUUUAAAAGUGCACUUAAAUGUAAAGACUUGAAAAUUCCAAAGUAGCUUUAUUGAAAGUUUUGUUGCAAAAUGAAAAAAUUAAGUUAUAAAAGGUACCUAAAAGAAAAGCCUAAGAGGUCAUGGCUUUAGGGACAUCCUGUAAUCUACCUUCUAAGGAGAGUCCAAAAUGAGACCCUCUCAGAGUUAAAGAGACUCAGAGAUUUUCUGGAAAACUGUUAUGUUGAACAUUACUGGAAUUGUUCAAUACUGCCAGGUAUAAUUAUUGCUCAUCCUGACUGAAACUUGACAAGAUAUUUGAAAGGAUUUAGCAACUUGUGAUCAGAAAUUCAGCCAAACUAGAAGCUAAUAUCCAGAGCCUGAUAGGAAUUUUCUUUCAAGGCCUUCUUUCCUAAGUUAGACUAAAAUUAAGCACCCAGAGGAAAAGAAGCAAACUAGGGAUGACACAGUUGGACAGAUCAGCCCUGAGCUAACAUCUGAUGCCAAUCCUCCUCUUUUUUGCUGAGGAAGACUGGCCCUGAGCUAACAUCUGUGCCCAUCUUCCUCUACUUUAUAUGUGGGACACCUACCACAGCAUGGCUUGAUGAGCAGUGCCAUGUCUGCACCCGGGAUCCAAACUGGUGGACCCUGGGCUGCCAAAGCGGAACAUGCACACUUAACCACCGCGCCUCUGGGCCAGCCCCUGGAUGAAAAAGUAAAAGACUACAUCCAUUAUAGGCAGAAAGAAGCUAGAGCAGUUGUCACCCUACAACCUUCAAGAUUGAACAGUGAACAACAGAAAGGGGGGAUUAGUAACCAGAGACCCUCCAGGACCAGUUCAACUGACCCAUCUGAUCCACAGAUUCCUCUCCUCAGGUCUCGGGUCUGUCAUUUGGAUCCAGUCAAGAACACCGCAUACCUCAGAGGAUGGAGAAGCUAUAAACUGCAGCUAAUCCAGGUUCCUGAAUACACAGACAAAACCAAGUGACAUCAAUAAUGGCUUAUACAAGUUCCGGUAUAUAAGGUUAACUAACAUUUGACAAGGAAGCCAAGAGUACCAAAUGAGGAGAGGAUAAUCUCUUCAGCUAAUGGUACUGGGAAAACUGGAGAAAUGCAUGCAGAACAACGAAAUCAGAUCCCUGUUUCACACCACUCAUAAAAAUUAACUUGAAAUGGAUCAAAGACUUAAGCAUAAGUCUGGAUACUACAAAACUCCUAGAAGAAAAAGUGGGGAAAAAGCUUAUCGAUAUUGGUCCUGGCAAUGAUUUUUUUAACAUGGCACUAAAAGCACAAACAACAAAAGCAAAAGUCAACAAAUGGGACUACAUGAAACUCAAAAUCUUCUGUACAGCAAAAGAAACAAUUAACAAGAUGAAAAGACAACCCACAGAAUGGAAGAAAAUUUUUGCAAGCCCUAUAUUGGAUAAGGGGUUAAUAUCCAAAUGUAUAAAGAACUUACACUGCUUCAUAACAUAAAAUCAAACAAUCUAAUUUAAAAAAAUAGGCAGAAGAACUAAAUGGACAUUUUCCCAAAGAGAACAUCAAAAUGACCAACAGACACAUGAAAAGAUGCACAACGUCACUAAUCAUGGGAAAUGCGUAUCAAAACUAUAAUGAGCUGUCACUUCACACCUGUUAGAAUGGCUGUCAUCAGGAAGACAAGAG